GGUGGAGCCAGGAUCCACCUCAUCCCAGGCCUCAUUUAAGGGUUGGCACUGGAGGCAAGGGUAUCUCCCUGGUGAUUCUUGUAUGUCUGAGGACUUCUUAAGCUCACAGCUUGGCACCUGCCUUGGAAGUGGACGGAGAAGUUCCAAGCCUCAUACAGAAGAACAUGAAGGCAUCCCCUUAGGUGCCUGACUUGGGUCAGGACAAAUCUUCAUUUUGUGAUUGGAGACUUUACUGCUUUCCAGCUGCUCAGCAUGGCUGUUGCUUAGUCCUGCUGGAAGAAGAGGCUGUGUCAACACUUCUGAUUUAGCAAGUUCAGUCAGUUCUAUGACUAGAGAGUCAUUCAGUGAGGUACAGAAUGCACAGAGGUGAACCACAGCUAUCUCAUUGCUUGGCAUGGCCUUUGUGUAGCUGGCAAUUGAAUAAAUGACAUACAUGACAUUCUGAAGGAAGAAUUAAAAUGGAGCUGCUGUGGCCUUCAUUUUCAUCUCUCACAGUAAAUCAGGAACUGUAUUACAGAAGCCAGAGGAGUCAUGUGAUAGAGUGCUGCUACCAAAGUGAUUAGGAUCAGCCUUGGUAUGGCAAGAGCUUGAAGGCGUAUCAAAUUUUAUACAAUUGUAAUUUAAGCAAGAAUGGAAUUUUAUACAUUAUGCCUGUGCCACACUGAUAGAGUAUGCAGUCAAUUCACCUGCUACUGCUUUAAAGUGAAUACACGGUCGCAGCUCAGCUUGGAGCUGAAUUCAUCCCAGCCGUACCUCCUCUGAACUUGGCAGAUGCUCUCAGUCCUUUUAAACCCAUGGAAGGUAAGAAAGCCGUAUUCUUUAUCUUGUCUAUUUUUAUGGGAUGUUUAACAGCAGCAACAAAAUGGAUUGCUUUUCAGUAUGCACACCAUUAAUUGUCUUUAGGAUUGAAAAGUCACAGGAGGAGAAUGCUGAGGGCUUUAAUAGCUUUCCUCAUGCACCUUGGCCAAAAUCAUGUAAACAGGAGCCCAUGUGUGACCUCCCUUUCAGCAGGGCCCUCGAGGCCAUUACAAAGACACUUCAUGCAGUACAGCUGAGCUUAGAAGAUUGAUGCCCUCGUGUACUACUAAGGCCACAGGCAUGGGGAUAAACGGUCAUGAGUGUAACAGGAUAUCACACACCAGCUGAGAUGAAGUUACUGUUGAUUGUUAGGGUGUUAAUAGCUGAGCUUAUUACGCCUUUCUGCAGUCAUCUGAAGAGGCACUAUCCCAUAUUUGUGGUUACCACACUGAAGUUGAAAGAGGAGAAUGGAAUCAGUGCCUUUACAGCUUCAGUGUGAAGCGCACUGGUUCUGCCUACAUUUAGGGGCAGAGGCGCAGGCACACAUUCUGCUCAGCAGGUUUUGCUGUGGACAGGGCAGUGACCAAGGCAGGACUAGCAUCAACACCUGAGCUGCUGAUCCAGAGAGCACAGCUGAUUUGAAUUGAAGACAUGUGCUAGACAUACACAGUACUCCUAUGCCACAGCUGGCGUAAGGCAGUUUAUGUAUGUUUUGCAUCUCAGCUAUCCAUGUGUGCUUUAGGAGUGAAAAAUCUUCAUUUGCAUAGUGCUCACUGGAAUGAAGUAAAUGCUUGAAACCCUUGAGACAGCAGAAUGAAAUAGAUUGUGCUCAAGGAGGCAAGGUUUAGAGUGGAUGUCAGGGAAAUUCUUCACACAGAGAGUGGUGAGGUGCUGGAACAGGCUGCCCUGAGAGACUGUGGAGAUGUUGAAGACUGGGUUGGAUGGAGCCCCAGACAACUUGUUCUUGUACCAGAUCUGGAGGUGGGUGGCCACCAGGAUGGAACUUGAUGAUCCUUGGGGUCCUUUCCAACCCAAGCCCUUCUCUGAUUUUUAAGAAAGAAUAAUGGUCAGUUCAGGUACUACGUUGACUGUUCCUGA